rnacentral:rRNA from 1 species
CCCUUAGAUGUUCUGGGCCGCACGCGUGCUACACUGAGUGGAUCAGCGGGUCAGGUUGCGCGAAAGCGUUUCCUAAUCUUUAAAUCCGCUCGUGAUGGGGAUUGACGGUUGCAAUUUUCUGUCAUGAACGAGGAAUACCUUGUAAGCGCGGGUCAUCAUCCCGCGCUGAAUACGUCCUGCCCUUUGUACACACCGCCCGUCGCUCCUACCGAUUGAGUGGUCCGGUGAGGCUUUGGGAUCUGAGCGGAAAGAGCGUUUCGCUGUUUCUGCUCGGAAAACUCAGUCGAACCUUAUCAUUUAGAGGAAGGAGAAGUCGUAACA